GAUGAACGCUGGCGGCGCGCCUAACACAUGCAAGUCGAACGAUUAAAGCACCUUCGGGUGUGUAUAAAGUGGCGAACGGCUGAGUAACACGUGGGCAACCUGCCCCUUUCAUUGGGAUAGCCACGGGAAACCGUGGAUAAUACCGAAUACUUCGAGACUUCCGCAUGGAAGACUCGAGAAAGCUCCGGCGGAGAGGGAUGGGCCCGCGGCCUGUUAGCUUGUUGGUGGGGUAACGGCCUACCAAGGCAAUGAUGGGUAGCUGGGUUGAGAGACCGACCAGCCAGAUUGGAACUGAGACACGGCCCAGACUCCUACGGGAGGAAGCAGUGGGGAAUCUUGCACAAUGGGCGAAAGCCUGAUGCAGCGACGCCGCGUGCGGGAUGAAGGCCUUCGGGUUGUAAACCGUUUUCAGCAGGGACGAGGCGAAAGUGACGGUACCUGCAGAAGAAGCCCCGGCUAACUACGUG
rnacentral:rRNA from 1 species